rnacentral:rRNA from 1 species
GCCAGACUCCUACGGGAGGCAGCAGUGGGGGAUAUUGCACAAUGGGGGGAACCCUGAUGCAGCGACGCCGCGUGAGUGAAGACGGCCUUCGGGUUGUAAAGCUCUGUCAAUCGGGACGAAGAAGAUGACGGUACCGAUGAAGGAAGCUCCGGCUAACUACGUGCCAGCAGCCGCGGUAAUACGUAGGGAGCGAGCGUUGUCCGGAAUUACUGGGUGUAAAGGGAGCGUAGGCGGGAAUGCAAGUUGGAAGUGAAGGGUAUGGGCUCAACCCAUGAACUGCUUUCAAAACUGUAUUUCUUGAGUGAAGUAGAGGCAGGCGGAAUUCCUAGUGUAGCGGUGAAAUGCGUAGAUAUUAGGAGGAACACCAGUGGCGAAGGCGGCCUGCUGGGCUUUAACUGACGCUGAGGCUCGAAAGCGUGGGUAGCAAACAGGAUUAGAUACCCGGGUA